UCCUCAUGAUUCAACAUUGUCUAUGGUUUAUAAGAUUCUCCAGUAGAACGAUGAAAACAUUUCCAAGUUUGAUGCUUUUGUUCUGUUUGUAUCGUAAAAGCUGUUUCUUUCUUUCACAUGAUGGCUUAUUUACUUAAAAGUUAUUUGUUUGUGUAGCUAAUGAGGGCUCCUUGAUGGUGUUAUAGUCUACUGAAAUCUCAGUUGAUUAUAUUAGUUGCUUUGAAGAUUGCAGGAUGCCUUCAUGAAACCGGUAAGAUUAAAAUCAGUAAUCUUAUUAAAGCCUUGAAGCGAUAGAUUCGGUUUUAUCUGAACAGAGAGAACACUGCCUAUUUACCAAAUAAUUUUGCUUCAUAUGGUUCCUUAGCCUUGACGUCUACAUUUCAAAUGCAUUCACAUUUGUGAUUUUGAACAAGUUCUUCUGUGGUUCAAUUAGUAGACUGAACGAGGAGAUUAAAGGCUUUGUGAAAUCUGAGUCAGUCAAUGCAUUUCUCUGCUUUAUUUACCUUUAAACUUCACCAAAAACUCUAAUUUAAGGAACCUUUUCCUAUCUACAGAGAUACUAUGUCAGAGAUCCAACCAGAUUCAGACAAGGCCAGCCAUAGUUUGGUUCUUGGCUCAUGCUUGGAGGCAGCGCAGAGAGGAACAACGAAAAUAAUUCUUUAACUGGACACUAGACAACAUUCAAGAUUUUUUUCGACAAAGAGGAAUGUGUAGAGUAAGUGAGCGAAUCUUAAAUAUGCUGAAGAGAUUUUCAAUGCAACCAUCGUGAAGGAUGUUGUGGUUUACAAUGCAAUGGUUGAGGUUGUAAGCCGAUCAAUUGAAACUAUAUUUUGUGUGGUGAAUAAGAGAAUAAAAGGAAAUAUUUACAAAACUGAUGAUUAAUAAACAUUUUGUAUUAUUCAGUUCAAAUACAGCGAGCUCGAAUAUAUAUGGUUCUGUGAAACCAACAAGUUAUUAAAAUGUUUGAUGA